GAUGAAGAACGUAGCGAAAUGCGAUAAGUAAUGUGAAUUGCAGAAUUCAGUGAAUCAUCGAAUCUUUGAACGCACAUUGCGCCCGCCAGUAUUCUGGCGGGCAUGCCUGUUCGAGCGUCAUUUCAACCAUCAAGCCCCCGGCUUGUGUUGGGGACCUGCGGCUGCCCGCAGGCCCUGAAAACCAGUGGCGGGCUCGCUGUCACUCCGAGCGUAGUAGCAUAUAUCUCGCUCAGGGCGUGCUGCGGGUUCCGGCCGUUAAAAGCCUUUUUUUACCCAAGGUUGACCUCGGAUCAGGUAGGAAGACCCGCUGAACUUAAGCAUAUCAAAAGCGGAGGA
rnacentral:misc_RNA from 1 species